ensembl:misc_RNA 7SK 7SK RNA
UCCCUCACAGCUCCACGUGCAGUCGAGGAGGACGCCCACCCCCGGUGGAGGAGGACCGGUCUCCCGUCAAGGGCAUACGAGUAGCUGUGCUCCCCUGCUAGAACCUCCAAACGAGCUCUCAAGGGGGCUGUGAUUCACCCGAAGGGUUCCAAGGC